rnacentral:rRNA from 1 species
UACGUAGGGUGCGAGCGUUGUCCGGAAUUAUUGGGCGUAAAGGGCUCGUAGGCGGUCUGUCACGUCGGGAGUGAAAACUUGGGGCUUAACCCUGAGCUUGCGGUCGAUACGGGCAUGACUGGAGUUCGGCAGGGGAGACUGGAAUUCCUGGUGUAGCGGUGAAAUGCGCAGAUAUCAGGAGGAACACCGGUGGCGAAGGCGGGUCUCUGGGCCGAUACUGACGCUGAGGAGCGAAAGCGUGGGGAGCGAACAGG